UACGUAGGGUGCAAGCGUUGUCCGGAAUUAUUGGGCGUAAAGAGCUCGUAGGUGGCCUGUCGCGUCGGCUGUGAAAACUCGAAGGCUCAACCUCGAGCUGUCGGUGGAAACCGUAAGGCUAGAGUCCGGAAGAGGAGAGUGGAAUUCCUGGUGUAGCGGUGAAAUGCGCAGAUAUCAGGAAGAACACCCGUGGCGAAGGCGGCUCUCUGGGACGGUACUGACGCUGAGACGCGAAGGUCAGGGGAGCAAAGCGGG
rnacentral:rRNA from 1 species